rnacentral:lncRNA from 1 species
AUUGGAGACUGAAAAGAAGAGAAGUUAAGGAACUUGUCUAAGAUCAUCAAGCAAAGAAUUUAAAACUUAAGUUUCAAUAUUUUCUUAGAAAACAAGAAAAGUUAGUGAUCUCAUUAUAGAAAUCUGUUGCCCAGGGAAGAGGAAAUGGUGCCAUUUUUUUUUUCAAGAUUUUCUAUUGGGCAUGAAAAUUGCACUAAUUUUUCAGGAUGUUGGAAGAAAUUACAAAAUCUUGAAAACGGACAGACUUGCAGGGCCGCUUACCAGGAGACAGCUUUUACAAUGAGUGCACUGGCAAGAGGAAGGAAAAAGUCAUUUUGCUGCUUCAUGUGUUGUCUACACGGCGACUGUUACAGUGGCUUCAGCAGAGUCAGUGGUGGUGUCAAGAGUAUCUGGAGCAGAGAGGGCAGCUUAGUUCAUAUGAAGCAGCAAUAGCAACAGAAGAAAAGGCAGUGACAUCACCCUCAGCUUGUUGGGGAAAAGCCAGAGUGGACUAACAUACAUCCUGUGCCUGGAAAAGUCACAAACACUCAAUGCCAGCCUGUGAGAACAGCUUUGGUGGCUGAACCCUGAAAAAUCACAGGAGUAGAACUUCUGAAGCCUUUGGGAGCCUACCUUUUGCAUCAGUGUGCCCUACGUGUGGGACAUGAAGUCAAAGGUGAUUAUAUUGUAGCUUUAGGAUUUAAUGACUGCCCAGCUGGAUUUUGGACUUGCAUGAGCCUGUAGCUUGUUCCUUUUGGCUGAUUUCUCCCCUUUGGAAUGAGAGUAUUUAUCCAAUGC